AACGCGAAGAACCUUACCAAGGCUUGACAUACACCAGAACACCCUGGAAACAGGGGACUCUUUGGACACUGGUGAACAGGUGGUGCAUGGUUGUCGUCAGCUCGUGUCGUGAGAUGUUGGGUUAAGUCCCGCAACGAGCGCAACCCUCGUUCUAUGUUGCCAGCACGUAAUGGUGGGAACUCAUGGGAUACUGCCGGGGUCAACUCGGAGGAAGGUGGGGAUGACGUCAAGUCAUCAUGGCCCUUACGGCCAGGGCUACACACGUACUACAAUGGUCGGUACAAAGAGGUGCGGUACCGUGAGGUGGAGCGAAUCUCACAAAGCCGAUCUAAGUCCGGAUUGAAGGCUGAAACUCGCCUUCAUGAAGUCGGAGUCGCUAGUAAUCGUGGAUCAGCACGCCACGGUGAAUACGUUCCCGGGUCUUGUACACACCGAAUCGUCGACC
rnacentral:rRNA from 1 species